rnacentral:rRNA from 1 species
GACGGAAGGUGCAAGCGUUGCUCGGAAUCACUGGGCGUAAAGCGCACGUAGGCGGACUCUUAAGUCGGUGGUGAAAUCCUGGAGCUCAACUCCAGAACUGCCUUCGAUACUGGGAGUCUCGAGUUCGGGAGAGGUGAGUGGAACUGCGAGUGUAGAGGUGAAAUUCGUAGAUAUUCGCAAGGAACACCAGUGGCGAAGGCGGCUCACUGGCCCGAUACUGACGCUGAGGUGCGAAGCGUGGGGAG